rnacentral:rRNA from 1 species
GACAGAGGAUGCAAGCGUUAUCCGGAAUGAUUGGGCGUAAAGCGUCUGUAGGUGGCUUUUUAAGUCCGCCGUCAAAUCCCAGGGCUCAACCCUGGACAGGCGGUGGAAACUACCAAGCUGGAGUGACGGUAGGGGCAGGAGGGAAUUUCCGGGAUUCGGGAGGCGGUGGAAAUGACGUAGAGAUCGGAAAGAACACCAACGGCGAAAGCACUCUGCUGGGCCGACACUGACGCUGAGAGACGAAAGCUAGGGGAGCGAAUGGG